rnacentral:lncRNA from 1 species
GCUCUUGGCUUCUCAAACACUCACUUCCCUUAACUUCUGAAUAGAAAAAUUAAGGAGAAUUAAGGGUGAUUCAACAAUGGUGCUCUCAGCCAUUCUAAGUUGUUGUCUGCCAUCAUCAUCGUCGACUCUGCCUCGGGUGUCCGAUGAUGGUGGUGGGUCAAGAUGUGACAUUAGGCAAUCUUACCUUGCAAGAUUGUGGUUAGAUUGUAGAAUAAGCUAGCUAAUUUACUAUUUAUCAAACACUUUUUUCCCUAUAAAUUGAACUUUUUAAGUUAACUUAAGCCCCAUCUAAAGUUAUUAUAGCUACUAAUUAGCAAUCACAUCUCCCUUUCUAAUGGGAUUCUUAUCAACCAUUUUCAGGUGUUUGAUGUCUUGUUUUUCAAGCAAUGAAGCAAGAAAAUCUCCAGAGAAGCCUAAGAGAAAAUCAAAGUCAUCUAGGGCUCCCAUUGUGGUCUCUUCCUUCCCUGUCAACUCAAAUCUUUCUUGCUUAUAGCAUGCUGAAAUUUGAAAUGUAGUUGGUUCAAUCAUGGUAUGGACUGAUCUAUAAUUAAUGGCAAUGAAGCCAUGGUAUUGAUAGUUGCCUUUGCAAAUGAGCUUAAUGUUCUUAUAUAUCUUGGUGAGUAUAAUUCUAACUAUUUGAUCUGUCUUUUGAAUAUGAUUUAUGGUAUUUUACCCUACUGCAUGCCUUUGCUUUGGUUACCUCCUUGUGUGAACUGCCCAAUGGUCAUAAAGAUUAAUGAGUUUAAGCCUUGUUACGUUUACCCAUGCACAAAUUUGUAAUGUCAUUCACUUUGAAUUAAUUUCUUGGUGUAGACGUAUGAAACAAAAACUCUUUAUAUGAUACAAAAUUAUAGCUCUUAUCAUUUUUAAGACACGAUGAUGGAGGACGACAUCAUUCACUGCUUGAAGACCAAGCAAAACUUGGGGAAUACUCCUAGAAUUAUCAGGCGCCACACAAGUCAAAAAGUUAUGAAGGAAUAUUGAAAAUGGCUUCCUCAAUCUAGAGUCAAAGCAGCCACUAGUGUAGGAAACAGGAAGGAAUUUACCAUCUAAACAAUAUCACAAGCUGGGAAGAUGGGCACAUACCAUCUGGCUUUCCUUGCUAUGCAAGAAAAUGAGCCCAACUUCCAUUUCAAAUUAAACUUCCACUAUAAAUAUGUAGAAUCGUCUUCAUUCAAAGCUCAUUAAUACAAACUCACACUUCAGCUCUUGGCCUCUCAAACCACUUUGUUUAAUUUCUGAAAGCAGAAGGAGAAGGGUGAUUGAUCAACAAUGGUGUUCUCAGCCAUCAUAAGUUGUUUUCUGCCAUCAUCAUCGUCAUCUCGGGUGUCUGAUGAUGCUGGUGGGUCAGGCUCAAAGGUGCCUUCCAUGGGGAAAGACAAGAUGAGCAAAUCAAAUUCUUCAGGAGCUCCAAUAGUUCUUUCUUACUUUCCAUUGAACUCCUAUCUCUCUCGCUUGUAGUUGUACUACUAAUUGCAUUCUGAGGAAAGGGGAGUUGAAUUUGCAGAAGGUAUCAAUGGUUAAUUUCUUCAGCUCAAUGAUGUUAUGUGGAUCAGUUAAUUAAUGGGGCUUCUUGAUCAGUCAGUUCAGAGACCACACACCAUGGGGCAGUUGCUUAUGGGGUGGUGAUGUUGAAGGAAGAACAGCACUCAUGUACAUAUAGUUUGAUGAUUGAUUUGUAGUUUGAUUGAAGCAUAUCAUGUAAGAUCAUGGGUCCUUUAUUUUUAUUAGUAAUAUCCUGAUGAAUAAAAUUCAAGUGUAAUCCAAUUGUUUGAUUUGUGUUUUGGUAAGAGUUCUUAUUUCAUGUUAAUCCAUAUCCAAAUUCUUGUGCUUAA